rnacentral:sRNA from 1 species
UCUCGCUUACAACCACUUACAAGUGUUC